rnacentral:misc_RNA from 1 species
GCGAAUAUAUUUUCUGAGGAAGUCCAUGCUAGCACCGGCUGUGAUGCUGGUAGUGAUUGUGCUAGGCGAAACAAUAAGCCUAGGGACGGAGCAAUCCGUUACGGCGACUGAAAAGGCUAAGUCUUUUAGAUAGGUCUGAAUAGGUCUGAAAGUGCCACAGUGACGUAGUUCUUCUGGAAACAGAAGAAGUGGAACGCGGUAAACCCCUCAAGCUAGCAACCCAA